rnacentral:rRNA from 1 species
GACGAACGCUGGCGGCGUGCUUAACACAUGCAAGUCGAACGGAGUGGCGAACGGGUGAGUAACACGUGGGUGACCUGCCCUGCACUUCGGGAUAAGCCUGGGAAACUGGGUCUAAUACCGGAUAGUGUGGGAUGGGCGCGCGGCCUAUCAGCUUGUUGGUGGGGUAAUGUCCUACCAAGGCGGCGACGGGUAGCCGGCCUGAGGGGGUGGACUGCCAGAGUGGGACUGAGAUACGGCCCAGGCUACUACGGGGGGCAGCAGUGUGGAAUAUUGCACAAUGGGCGGAAGACUGAUGGAGCGACGCCGCGUGGGGGAUGACGGCCUUCGUGUUGUAAACUGCUUUCACCAUCGACGCGGUAGGUGGAGAAGAAGCACCGGCUAACUACGUGCCAGCAGCCGCGGUAAUAC